GCCCGGGUGGUCUAGUGGUAUGAUUCUCGCUUAGGGAAAAACCCAAGCACAUCUGCGAGAGGUCCCGCGUUCGAUCCGCGGCUCGGGCC
rnacentral:tRNA from 1 species